rnacentral:misc_RNA from 1 species
AACCUUAUGGACCUGCGGGCGUAUACCUGCGGAGGGAUCAUUACAGAGUUAUCCAACUCCCAAACCCAUGUGAACUUAUCUCUUUGUUGCCUCGGCGCAAGCUACCCGGGACCCCGCGCCCCGGGCGGCCCGCCGGCGGACAAACCAAAACUCAUGUUAUCUUAGUCGAUUCUCUGAGCGUCUUAUUUAAUAAGUCAAAACUUUUAGCAAUGGAUCU